rnacentral:rRNA from 1 species
UGGGGAAUAUUGCACAAUGGGCGCAAGCCUGAUGCAGCCAUGCCGCGUGUAUGAAGAAGGCCUUCGGGUUGUAAAGUACUUUCAGUCGGGAGGAAGGUGGUAAGGUUAAUAACCUUAUCAAUUGACGUUACCGACAGAAGAAGCACCGGCUAACUCCGUGCCAGCAGCCGCGGUAAUACGGAGGGUGCAAGCGUUAAUCGGAAUUACUGGGCGUAAAGCGCACGCAGGCGGUUGAUUGAGUCAGAUGUGAAAUCCCCGGGCUUAACCCGGGAAUUGCAUCUGAUACUGGUCAGCUAGAGUCUUGUAGAGGGGGGUAGAAUUCCAUGUGUAGCGGUGAAAUGCGUAGAGAAUUGGAGGAAUACCGGUGGCGAAGGCGGCCCCCUGGACAAAGACUGACGCUCAGGUGCGAAAGCGUGGGGAGCAAACAGG